GAUCCUGGCUCAGGACGAACGCUGGCGGCGCGCCUAACACAUGCAAGUCGAACGAGGAGAUGAAGAGCUUUGCUCUUCAAAUCGAGUGGCGAACGGGUGAGUAACGCGUGAGGAACCUGCCUCAAAGAGGGGGACAACAGUUGGAAACGACUGCUAAUACCGCAUAAGCCCACAGCUCGGCAUCGAGCAGAGGGAAAAGGAGUGAUCCGCUUUGAGAUGGCCUCGCGUCCGA
rnacentral:rRNA from 1 species